rnacentral:tRNA from 2 species
GCAGUCGUGGCCGAGUGGUUAAGGUGAUGGACUAGAAAUACAUUGGGGUCUCCACGCAUAGGUUCGAUCCUGUCGACUGCG